UGCAAGUCGAGCGAACUCUUCGGAGUUAGCGGCGGACGGGUUAGUAACGCGUGGGAAUAUACCCAAAGGUACGGAACAACAGUUGGAAACGACUGCUAAUACCGUAUGUGCCCUACGGGGGAAAGAUUUAUCGCCUUUGGAUUAGCCCGCGUUGGAUUAGGUAGUUGGUGGGGUAACGGCCUACCAAGCCUACGAUCCAUAGCUGGUUUGAGAGGAUGAUCAGCAACACUGGGCUGAGACACGGCCCAG
rnacentral:rRNA from 1 species